UCCCCGUUAUCCUGGUAGUCCCAGCCGUAAACGUUGAGUGCUAGGUGUGGGGAGGUCUUCAACCCUCUCUGUGCCGCAGCUAACGCAUUAAGCACUCCGCCUGGGGAGUACGGCCGCAAGGCUAAAACUCAAAGGAAUUGACGGGGACCCGCACAAGCGGCGGAGCAUGUGGCUUAAUUCGAUGCAACGCGAAGAACCUUACCUAGGCUUGACAUGCUAGUUAAAGCGCGUGAAAGCGCGUGUUCGUAAGGGGCUAGCACAGGUGCUGCAUGGCUGUCGUCAGCUCGUGCCGUGAGGUGUUGGCUUAAGUGCCGCAACGAGCGCAACCCCUGUCUUUAGUUGCCAGCGCGUAAUGGCGGGGACUCUAAAGAGACUGCCGGGGACAACUCGGAGGAAGGUG
rnacentral:misc_RNA from 1 species